GAUGAACGCUGGCGGCGUGCCUAAUACAUGCAAGUCGAACGAACUAAUUAAUUAGUGAGUGGCGAACGGGUGAGUAAUACAUAAGUAACCUGGCCUAGACAGGGGGAUAACUACUGGAAACGGUAGCUAAGACCGCAUAGGUGUGGGAAUCGCAUGAUUUUCAUAUUAAAAGUGCUAAGGCACUGGUAAAGGAUGGACUUAUGGCGCAUUAGCUAGUUGGUAGGGUAAAGGCUUACCAAGGCGACGAUGCGUAGCCGACCUGAGAGGGUGACCGGCCACACUGGGACUGAGACACGGCCCAGACUCCUACGGGAGGCAGCAGUAGGGAAUUUUCGGCAAUGGGGGGAACCCUGACCGAGCAACGCCGCGUGAAGGAAGAAGGUUUUCGGAUUGUAAACUUCUGUUAUAAAGGAAGAACGACUAUUGGAGGGAAUGCCAGUAGAGUGACGGUACUUUAUGAGAAAGCCACGGCUAACUACGUGCCAGCAGCCGCUGUAACAC
rnacentral:rRNA from 1 species